rnacentral:rRNA from 1 species
UACGGAGGGUGCAAGCGUUGUCCGGAAUCACUGGGUGUAAAGGGUGUGUAGGCGGCUCUGUAAGUCAGAGGUGAAAUCCCGCAGCUUAACUGUGGAACUGCCUUUGAUACUGCAGAACUUGAGUCUCGAAGAGGUAGCUGGAAUUCGUGGUGUAGCGGUGAAAUGCGUAGAUAUCACGAGGAACACCAGAGGCGUAGGCGGGCUACUGGGCGAGUACUGACGCUGAGGCACGAAAGCGUGGGGAGCAAAC